GACUGCAAGACCCGGAGAAGCAAGAAAGCCCGGUAGAAGAGGCAACCAGGAAGCCUCAGCCCUGUACUGAGAGUGAGGGUCCCCCAGAGGAUGCCACCCCGCUCCUAGCUGAGACCCCAGCCCCAGAGCAGCCUGUGGAAAGCCAGCCACUGCUCCGUCAGGAAGUGUCCAGCACCAACCCUGGUGACCACCCUGCACCCACAUAUGCACCUGCCCCCCAGCUUGAGCUGGCUGAGGUCAAAGAAGCUAGUGGCCCCAAGCAAAAGACGUGCCAGUGUUGUGUGGUCAUGUGAGCCUACGCCUGCCGCCCAGCACCCUCUUCCUCCUCUCACAGCUACCUCGCUGCCUGGCAUCCAGCAGAAGGUCCCAGGCAUAGACAGGGUACCAUAGGACUCGUGGUAGCACCCAGGAGCCAGUAGGCCCCUGUGCUUACUUACACCUGGGCUUUUAGAUUCCCUGCCCACUGCCUGUGGCCCUGACUUCCUUCUGCAAUGAAGCCUUUAUACUUGAAAAUUAAAUGUUAAGGCACUCUGGCUUUAAGAAAAAAAC
rnacentral:lncRNA from 1 species